AGCUAUCCUCUUCCUGAAUUUCUUCAUAAAUUACAGCAACAGAAGACUGUAUACAAAGAUAUUUCAAGCUACUCUUUGCUCAAACUCAGAAAGAUCUACAUAUAAGUAAUGGCAGUAAUUUCAGGACUCUAUGCCAGAGCAUGGAGAGUUUGUUUGUACAUGCUGCUUCAGACUAGCGCCCUGUGAGUAGAAAGGCCACAUCUGCACUGCACAGUUUUGAAUUUCAUAUUCAAACCACUGGCCUUCAAGGAGUGCCUAGGGAAGAAGAUAGAGGAUACUGAUGUAACUUAGUGCAAAGAAAAGCCUUUAAAUAAGGAAUGAUACAAGAGCAGAAAAUUUCCUGGCAUGCCUGACCAAACGAAUCACUCAUAAGUCACUUUCUUUCUUCCCUAAAGCACUCUGUCACGAAUAAAGAACGCCUUUCAUAACUUU